rnacentral:rRNA from 1 species
CUACGGGCGGCUGCAGUGGGGAAUAUUGCACAAUGGAGGAAACUCUGAUGCAGCAACGCCGCGUGGAGGAUGACACAUUUCGGUGCGUAAACUCCUUUUAUAUAGGAAGAUAAUGACGGUACUAUAUGAAUAAGCGCCGGCUAACUCCGUGCCAGCAGCCGCGGUAAUACGGAGGGCGCAAGCGUUACUCGGAAUCACUGGGCGUAAAGAGCGUGUAGGCGGAUAGAUAAGUCAGGAGUGAAAUCCUAUGGCUCAACCAUAGAACUGCUCUUGAAACUGUCUAUCUAGAGUGUGGGAGAGGUAGAUGGAAUUUCUGGUGUAGGGGUAAAAUCCGUAGAGAUCAGAAGGAAUACCGAUUGCGAAGGCGAUCUACUGGAACAUAACUGACGCUGAGACGCGAAAGCGUGGGGAGCAAACAGGAUUAGAUACCCUCGUAGUC